GACUAAAUUGGUGGCCUAGUGGUUAGAGUGUCUGUCUCAUAUGCAGGAGGUAAUGGGUUUGAUCCCCUGUUGAGUCA